CAAGCUUGAUACAUAUGGCGUCAUUCCCUUGUGGAAAGUCGUCGCGACAGGAUGUGUUAUGUUUGUGCGUGAUUUGUUUUUAUUUCUACUUCGCCGCUAUUUGUGGACUACAAUUACAGUUUCAUUUACUUGAUUAUUGAAGAUUUCGAGAAUAACUUUAUAAAGAAGUAAGGUUAUGCAUCAGAGACGCUUUAAUGACGAAUUCGGUUGAAUUGGAAUCCUCUCAUACAGGUUCAGCAAUAAUUUAUUUCAACAAAUCAUCAAUUGACAUUUUUUGCAUUUUUCUACUUACAUCGUUUAUACGUGAAAAUAGUGUUUUGUUAUUGGGUUAUAACAAAUUCGAGGACAACAUCUUUCGCAUCUGACGAGCAUCUGGUGAGUCGCAUGCAUUUUUGUU